rnacentral:rRNA from 1 species
CAGUAGCCACGGUAAUACGAAGGGGGCUAGCGUUGCUCGGAAUUACUGGGCGUAAAGGGAGCGUAGGCGGACUGUUUAGUCAGAGGUGAAAGCCCAGGGCUCAACCUUGGAAUUGCCUUUGAUACUGGCAGUCUUGAGUACGGAAGAGGUAUGUGGAACUCCGAGUGUAGAGGUGAAAUUCGUAGAUAUUCGGAAGAACACCAGUGGCGAAGGCGACAUACUGGUCCGUUACUGACGCUGAGGCUCGAAAGCGUGGGGAGCAAACAGGAUUAGAUACCCCCGUAGUCCCUGUCUCUUAUAC